GCCAGGCUGAGUGAUGUGAAAAGACAGGACUGUUUUCAGUAACACAGCCACAUGCCCGACGUUUUCACUGGGAAGCUAGGUCUGUAAUGCAUGUUACUGUCUCUUCUUUAUUUAUGUGCACAUAUUUUCCAAAAACAAAAGUUACUCCCAAUUAGAAAUUACUGAGCCGGAUUUGACUGCACGCAGGACGGACGGACGGACGGAUGGACAGACAGACAGGAAGGCAGGCAGGCAGGCAGGUAUUACCGUCUACAUUAUUCAUAUGCUGGCAAACUGGGUCUGCAUCUAUUAAUGGAUCCAGGAUUGCUUAAGGUCCAUGGUCACUUCAGACAGAUGAAAAUUUGACAGCAGUGGAUGCCGUUGCAUCCCUUGAGUGAUGCCUGUGGGCUGUACCGCAAUGGAUGCAGGAGAACAGACUGAGGCUGAACCCGGACAAGACAGAGAUCUUGAAGGCAGAAUCAAUCAAUCAAGAGGCCAGCUUUGUGCUUGCAUAUUCCAGGCACAUCUCCGCACUUCAGGAUACAAGAUCACAGUGUUAUCCAGCCAAAUUUGAUCAACAAAUGCAGUUCCCCUGUGCCACAGCAAUCUCAGAUGAAGAUGUUAUUAUGUGGAACUGAGCAAAGUGAUAAAGACAGUACAGAAAAAGGGAGGAGGAAUUUCACUUGGCCUUUCUAACUGCCUUUGAUGCAUCUGUUGGUAAUAUGUGUCU